UGGGGAUCAGAUGCUGCUAAAAAUACAGGAGCGAAGCCCGGGCGAUGGUGAGCGCGGCCGGACAAAGCCCGGGCAGCGCUGGCGGCCGCGGUCCCCGUCCCGGAGCGUCACCCGAGCAGCGCAAUACCAGACGGUGAUGUCACCGCAGGCAGCAACAAAGGACGCGGCACCGGCCGGGCGGCCAGCGCCUGCCUUCCUCCUCCUCCUCCUCCUCCGGGACCCCGCGGCCGCCCCCCGCCCGGCAACGGGACCGACCGACACCCCCCCACACACACACACCCACCCGCCCCCAGCCGGGCCCGGCCCGCCCGACGCUCCCCGCCGGCGGCCGCCGCCAGAGCCUCGCCUCCCGUCUGCCGAGAGGCCCGAGCUGUGAGACUGGAGGAGACAAAGCGGCUUCCCCGCCGGUAGCUACAGGUCUUCUGCAAUAACAGAGUGAUAAAAUGACAGAUGGAAAGAUUCAUGAGAACCUAUGGAGUGUGACCCUCUGACAUACAACUCUGUCCCAGUCCAAGAUCACCUAUGUCUUUGUCAUUCCUUGACAGAAAACUGUUGAGACUGUUUCUGGAUACUGAAUAACAUCUGUGGAUGUCUGACUAAGCACGGUGAUUAAAAAGAGACAAAAGUUCAUGAUCUAGACAUCACAAAGCCAGGAAAGAAUUUCCUAGUUCUUAUCAAGAGGAGUCUGGAUGAAAUCUUCACUUUAAAGAUAUAUCAGGUACAAUACAUUUUAAUACUUAAAAUUACCUGUAAAAAUGACUGUACAUCUGCCACUUUACAGUUUAGUUUAAAAUAACUGUUUACUUCAUAUUGAAUCUAAAGACUUAGAUUUUCAUCCUUCAGUAGUCUGGGAAUUUCAUAAACACAACUCGUUCAUAACAUAAAUAGAUCUAAAAAAGUCACCAUUCUUAAUAAAUUAACAGAUAAAAUUAUAAAUGCACAUUACCAGCAUAUUAUUAAAAAAUCCACAGAAAUGCCUGUGGAUGCUUAGGAGUUCCUGACUGACUCCUUUUAGUUCUCAUAGCAAUCCAAAGCCUCUUUUGAAGUAGAAUUCUAUGGGUUUGAUGAAGGGCAUCUUUGAGGAAUUGUCUGAGCCAGGGCAAAACCUUUGAGAAAAAUGCAUAUUCUCAAUUUUGACCUUAGUCUGCUCCUUAAGGAAGGGAGUAUUAAGACUUUAGCAAUCUACAGGACUAAAAUUUUUACCUGAGAGCAAAUUCUCCUGGAACCAGCACGUGCAAUAAAAAGAAAAAUCUUUCUUAGUGUGAAAUGAAGCCAUGAAAGGAGCUUUGUGGGUCCUUUCUGUGGAGGGUGUUUCUUCCUCAAGAGACCGGGAACAGCAGAUGCUAGUUCACCCCUCAAGGGAAGAGCAUAUGAAAUGGGAACAUCUACUUAGAAUUCCCUGCACUUAAAUAAUGAAGCAUGAACAAUUCAACAAGAGGAGUACAGACAGAUACUAGUAUGGUGUGAAAUCUAGAAAAGCUGUAGCCUAAGAAAAGAAAAUUAAUAUGUAAAGCUUGUAAUAAAAGGGUGUUGGAAAGCAAGAAUUUAUUCCAGAGGUGUCCGGGGAGGGAAAAAUGAUUGCUCAGAAUCCCUGCUCCACCAAGUGAAUUCAUUGUAGUACAGAGAAAGGACAGCCCCCUGGUAUAAAGGACAGACUAUUUCCUUAUUCAUUCUGAGCAGAAGGCUCUAGAAAAAGCCAGUGUUGGUAAAAGCAGAAGUCUCUGGAGGAGUAUAAGACAAGGCCAAGCAUUCAGUAAUACUUUUUAUAUUAGAUUGUAUUAGAAAUUAUAGUUGCUUGUAUAUAUAUGCUCAUAUGAGAAGGAAGGAAACUGAUGACAUCAAGACACUGAAGAGUAAUCUGUUGCACAUUCCCCUGCUAAUAUGUACAAUAAAAUGUUCAGUUGCAGUGUAUCAUAAACAGAGGGUUAAUUGCUAAAAGUUGCAGAUUAAUAUGAAUCUCUUGUACUAAUAGAUUUUAUCAAGAAAAUACAGCAGGACUAGAAACUCAAAGCUUAAGUGUAAACUUGCAGUAAUCCACUGGCAGAAGAAUUGUGUAGGUGUAUAAAAUUGAUUUGAGAAGGAAUGAAGAGGCGUGACUGGUGAAUUGCUACUUUUUGAAGAUAAAAAAUCAGUGCACAUGUAGGUCAUGUUAAAAAAGAAAGUACGUCUUCAUCCUUAUCUCUUUAUUAUGCACAUUUUUGUAAAUGUUUUCUUUGGUUGCC